rnacentral:rRNA from 1 species
AUACAGAGGGUGCGAGCGUUAAUCGGAAUUACUGGGCGUAAAGCGCGCGUAGGUGGUUAUGUAAGUUGGAUGUGAAAGCCCCGGGCUUAACCUGGGAAUUGCAUUCAAAACUGCAUGGCUAGAGUCUGAUAGAGGGAAGUGGAAUUUCCGGUGUAGCGGUGAGAUGCGUAGAUAUCGGAAGGAACACCAGUGGCGAAGGCGGCUUCCUGGAUCAAGACUGACGCUGAGGUGCGAAAGCGUGGGGAGCAAACAGGAUUAGAAACCCCAGUAGUCC